GAUGAACGCUGGCGGCGUGCCUAAUACAUGCAAGUCGAGCGAACGGACGAGAAGCUUGCUUCUCUGAUGUUAGCGGCGGACGGGUGAGUAACACGUGGAUAACCUACCUAUAAGACUGGGAUAACUUCGGGAAACCGGAGCUAAUACCGGAUAAUAUUUUGAACCGCAUGGUUCAAAAGUGAAAGACGGUCUUGCUGUCACUUAUAGAUGGAUCCGCGCUGCAUUAGCUAGUUGGUAAGGUAACGGCUUACCAAGGCAACGAUGCAUAGCCGACCUGAGAGGGUGAUCGGCCACACUGGAACUGAGACACGGUCCCGACUCCUACGGGAGGCAGCAGUAGGGAAUCUUCCGCAAUGGGCGAAAGCCUGACGGAGCGACGCCGCGUGAGUGAUGAAGGUCUUCGGAUCGUAAAACUCUGUUAUUAGGGAAGAACAUAUGUGUAAGUAACUGUGCACAUCUUGACGGUACCUAAUCAGAAAGCCACGGCUAACUACGUG
rnacentral:rRNA from 1 species